AUAGCUUCAGCCAUCACUACUCUCUCUGCAAUACCAGACGAAGAAGAAUCAUUUUUCAACGAGGAAAACAAUACUUAUGCAAAUGACGAAACCAAAAACCAGUUUGGAAAAAGCACUUCUCUAAGUAGCCGCUUCCUUGCCUCCCGGCCGACUGCCAUGACUUGCGACAAAAACCCUAAGGUUUGUCAGGCGUCGGGCAGCGCAGGGCCGGAUUGCUGCAACAAGAAAUGCGUGGACAGAAACACAGACACAGCGAACUGCGGCAAGUGUGGGAGGAAAUGCAAUUACGCAGAGAUUUGCUGCGAAGGUAAGUGUGUGAAUCCGAUGUUAGACAAGGAAAACUGCGGCAGCUGCAACAACACGUGCACGAAAAGAAAGGAAUGUGCAGCUAUGCAUGAACACUAA
rnacentral:lncRNA from 1 species